rnacentral:rRNA from 1 species
CAAGUCGAACGGUAACAGGCCUUCGGGCGCUGACGAGUGGCGGACGGGUGAGUAACGCGUAGGAAUCUGCCUCAUAGUGGGGGACAACGUGGGGAAACUCACGCUAAUACCGCAUACGCCCUACGGGGGAAAGGAGGGGAUCUUCGGACCUUUCGCUAUGAGAUGAGCCUGCGUUAGAUUAGCUAGUUGGUAGGGUAAAGGCCUACCAAGGCGACGAUCUAUAGCUGGUCUGAGAGGACGAUCAGCCACACUGGGACUGAGACACGGCCCAGACUCCUACGGGAGGCAGCAGUGGGGAAUAUUGGACAAUGGGCGAAAGCCUGAUCCAGCAAUACCGCGUGUGUGAAGAAGGCCUUAGGGUUGUAAAGCACUUUCAAUUGGGAGGAAAACCUGCCGGCCAAUACCCGGUAGCUUGACAUUACCUUUAGAAGAAGCACCGGCUAACUCCGUGCCAGCAGCCGCGGUAAUACGGAGGGUGCGAGCGUUAAUCGGAAUUACUGGGCGUAAAGCGUGCGUAGGCGGUUCGUUAAGUCAGAUGUGAAAGCCCUGGGCUCAACCUGGGAACUGCAUUUGAAACUGGCGGACUAGAGUUUAGUAGAGGGGAGUGGAAUUUCAGGUGUAGCGGUGAAAUGCGUAGAUAUCUGAAGGAACACCAGUGGCGAAGGCGACUCCCUGGACUAGAACUGACGCUGAGGUACGAAAGCGUGGGUAGCAAACAGGAUUAGAUACCCUGGUAGUCCACGCCGUAAACGAUGUCGACUAGCCGGUUGGCCCUAUUUACAGGG